CUGGGCAAUUUAAAGCCACGUGCUCUGUGUCACCAAGACUGUGACUCAGCCAUGUGCUUGCCAAAGCUCAUUCACGGAGAGACGAAACUGCUCAGUAGGCACUUUUCAAAGUGAGGGCCCUUCACCUCCUGGAGGGAACAACAUGGGGAUACACAGGAGGGGAGCCUUUCUAGCAGCCCAGGGGAGUGGCCCUCGGAGCCAGGACCGGUGGGUGUUCACUUCUGUUCCCUCAGCCCCUGGCUUUCCAUCCAUGUCUGUUAGAUGACCGAAUGCACAACAGAAGAAAUGACGUGAAGCUGGCACAAAACCCCAAAGCCCAUACUUUGCUACGCAUGUCUUCCCCGUUGUCUUGCUGCUCAGCAGAGAGGAGUGAUGCUCACGUGGUCCCCACAAGGGAGCCUGAAACUCCACAGAAUGAGCAGACGCCCGGCUGGGAGCAAAGAGAUCCAGGCGCCUCAAAGACUCACCCUUUCUCUGCGUUCCUCCGAGAAGCUUUGAUAAUGAAAGGAAAUGCAAAUAAAGAAGUAAUGACUUCUGGUAAAAUUAUGCUUAGAAGACGACUUCCUACUCCCUGUCCCUCUCAUCCCCUCGAAAGUCCUCCUCUCAUGAGCUCUCCUCCAGGAGCUAAUUUCCCACCGCAGUUUUCCAGGAUCGCAAAGGGACAUGGGACAGUCUAGAUAAUUAAUUCUGUGAGACCUCCUACUUCGGGACCCAAAGUUUCGCUCAGGCCCAGAGAUGGAUACAGGGAUUCUCCAGGCUAGAAGAGCCUCUGGCCACCAGCCAACUUCCAAUGUAAAGUGCACCUCCAAUCAUGAAAAAGACAUGAAGAGUCUUGCCAAACACUAAAGACUGCCAGGAAAGACUAAAGGGCCUGCAUCACCCUGCCCCCCUCACUCCAUGGAGAGACAGCUUACCUUUGUUACCGACAACCAUGGACGAUAGCUCAGGCCAUUAGGAACUCUUUCAUCUGGCUCCCACAGCCCUUUGACAUAUCCCUAUCAAUGGAUUUGUCGAUUUUGCUGAGAAAUCGGAGCUCUUUUGGCAGAGUGACUGCAGCCCAGCUGGGGACAAGAGGACUCAUGUUCCAUCUCUCCUUGCAGACACCUCCUUAUUCGUCCUUCCCAGUCCCCCCGAGAGCCCUUCCUGUGCUCCUUCCUCAAGGAUGAACUGUUCUAGAACAUGUCAGCAAUGCCUGCCUGUUGUGGAAUUUUGUCACAAUUUCCAGGGUGGCUGUGACUCAGCCCGGGUCCCUGAAGUCUGAGGCUGUCCACAUGGAGAGCACUCAUUCCCUGGCACAAACCCGCCCCCCUCAGCCUGAGGCCAGCAGAAGUUCUGGAUGUGCCUUCCCCCCGCUGCUCCUCUCGCCUGGUCGCCCCUUUAACUCAUAAUGCUAUUAUACAAAUGGAACAUCCACAGACACGAACCAUUCAAACUACAAAGUUAUCCUGUGAAAAUAUAUGGAUAUGUGUUUAACCUCUGCGCCUCUUUCGAAAUAUCCACACAUAAACAUGCAUAUAUUUGCAUAUAGGUUCUUUUUUUCUUAAUGCAUCUGACGGACAACUCUACACAGUCUUCUUGACCUUGCUUUAAUUUUUAAUUAACAAUGUAUUUCCAAGAUCUUUCCAUAUCACCAUACACAGAUCUAUUUCAUUUUGGAUGACACACAGUAUUCCAUUGAUGUGUUAUUAUUUAUUUAUCUAUCUAGUCCCAUAUCAAUAGACAUUUGGGUUGUUGGCAUUUUUUUGCUGCUCCCAACAGUGCUACUGCGAACAGCCUUGAACAAACAGCCUUGUGGAUCUGUGGGGAUACGCUACAGAAAAUUCCAAAAAUUGGAAUUGCUGGUCAAAGAAAAUGUGUACUUUAACUCUGAUAGCCAUUGCCACCUUGCUCUCUGAAGGAGCUGUGCCAAUUUACCCUCCUGGCAGCAGUUGCUGAAACAGGGUAUCCCCUGUCCUCUCUCACCAACAUCCAGCUCUGUUACACGCGUAAACCUCCUCCCGUCUGGUCGGUGAAAAUGGCAUCUCAUUGUAAUCUCACUUUGCAUUUCUCUCAUUACGGCUGAGGGAUGCAUUUCAAAUGUUAAGAAGUCAUCUGUGUUUUUCUUGAACUACUUAUAUCCUUUGUGAACUAUCCUAUUGGUUGCCAGUCUUUAUCUUACUGAUUUAUAAGAGUUCUUCACAUAGGAAGGAAAUGAGUACUUUUGUUAGGUAUGGUAUAGUAAUUUCCCCCAGUUUAUUGUGUCGUUUGUUUGUAGACUUUUCUUAUAUACAUAUUGCCCUCAUAGAUUCUGCCUUACAGCAGAUUAGAAAUUCAAUACACGUAUUUGGGUGUGCAAGGAUUGAUUUCUUUAAUAUCGUGUCCUCAUUUCUGCAUUUCAGUCCCCAUUCCUCUAAGGUGGCAGACACUUCGUUUCAUCAAUUCAGAGAUCAGCUGGUCCUUUUGUCACCCGCCCCCCCAAAGUUCCUGGGAUGGUCCUGGGUUCAGGUGGGCUUACUCAGUACAUGAGGGGACGCUGGAGGCCCUUUGAUCCUCCAGCCCAGCUGUCCAUGGAACGUCUACUGGGAUUCCCUGUCUGGUCACUUUGGGCUGUCACUUCUUGUCCACAAGGUCCCUCCAUGGCUGUUCUCUCCUCCUCACCCCUGCACUACCAAGUACACAGGACGCUUUGUGCCGCCCACAGUGAAGCAGAGGCCCAUCUCCCUGACACACCACAGCUAUUUCUAACCUAGACCUUUGCCACUUCCUCUGGGUUCAUCCUGGGAAACUCAGGCAGGGUUCCUUUCUCAGGACCCCGCCAACAUCCACAUACAUCUCAAGACACCCCCACCUCUGCCCUCUUCCCAAGCCCAGGGACUCUAUCUGGUUGGAGAGACUACAAGCCUCGCUAUCCCUUGUCAAGGAGCUUCCACGUCGAUUCCUAUGUCUUCCAUUCCUCUAAAGAGUUGUAACUGUGGAGCUCAGAGGUCAGCAAGACUUUCUUCCUAUACUUUUGCUUCCCUUUCUGUUGUCACAUCCCUUCCCUGAGGCAGUGCACACCGAAUGGCCAGAAAUGUGUAUGUGUGUGUUUGUGUGUGUGUGGUUCCUGGGGAGGGAGAGGCCAAAGCUUCUCAGGAACCCCAGGAGGAAAGCAGCCAGCCAUUAAACCCUGUGAACUUCCCAAGCCUUUCCCAGCAAGUCUCAGCCACCCACCACACUGCUGGGGGCCUGUCCUCUCUUGGGCCCUCUCUGAUACCGUCUGAGGCUACUGUGCCUCCUUUGCGGGUGGGGCCUGGCCCAUCUUGCUAUCCUCUGUGGCAUCUAGCCCCACGGGCCUUGCACAUCCAGACACUUAAGAUGUAUGGCAUUGAAGCAUCUGCUGGUUUUAACAAGCCAGGCUGUCCUUGUCCUUGGUGCUCUCCAAGAAAGUCAGGAAGGUGGGGCAUCAGUGAAGGGGGUUCUUAGGGUGUCCCCCAAAUGGCCUCCUCGGCUUCUGCUUUCUCCUGAAAGCUUUCCUCAGCUGACCCCAAGAAGCCAGGGGAAAAAAGUUUUCCUCCAGAGAGCACUGCCUGCAGAUGAGGCCUCCCCACCCAAGUUUGUCUCCCUUCGCCUCCUCCCUGCUUUGCUGGCGUUCCUUCAGGCCAGGGGGCUGGAUAGCGUGAAAUGACCUCAGCCCCCGGGUCCUCAGGAAGGGAUGCUGGAGGCAGGAGUUGGAGAGGAGGUGCCAGGCACCAGUCUUCAACUGAGCACAACUGAAUUCAUUCCUCAUGGAGUUUUCAUCCCAUCCCUACUGCACCCCUGGUUCCGUCUUUAUUUUGCCUCUCGCUAGAUAAGAACUCCACCUCUAAGCCUUCUGUUGGUGAGGACAAGGUCCUUUCUGUGAGGUGCCACAUUUCCUAGAAGUGGACAUGGCAAUGUAAUCCAGUGACCUGUACACUGAGAGAACCCUCCUUGCUCAGAACGCCCUCGCCCUGCUCCUCCUUCUCUUUCUCUUUCCCCAAGCAGGGCCGGCUCUCAGGACAGUGCAAACACACUUUCAGCUGGUCUCCAGUCUUCCAGCCAUUUCUAAUUGUCCCCUCCAACAUCCUCCAGGGACUCAGCCUGCAAUCUGACCAAGUUUUGCUGCCCAUUACUGCCGGGGCCCACUGGUUCUUUCAUGUUAAUUCAUCUUUUCCUCAGUAGCAUCUCUGAGGAGCACCACUCACCAGCAAGCUUAUCUCGGGACCACAGGCCGAGCUCUGGGAAAUGUAUGCAGUGAUGGAGAUUUGGGGUCUGGAGGAGGGUCCAGCCCCCGCCUGGCAUUCACUUCCCUGAGCCUCUUUCUUCAUCAGUAAAAUGGUGGGAGAAAACGAACAAACAAGCAACAGCACCUACCUCGCAGGGCGGCGAGGACUCCACAGGCAUCAUGUGCAUAUUUCUAAAACAUGGGCUCUUUGGGGCGCCAGGUUGGCUCAGUCGUUAUGCGUCUGCCGUCAGCUUGGGUCAUGAUCCCAGGGUCCUGCUUCUCCUUCUCCCACUCCCCCUCUUUGUGUUCCCUCUCUGUC